rnacentral:lncRNA from 1 species
UAAAAACUGAAAUCCACAGGCAAAAAUCUUAUUACAGUGAAUAAAAAAAUUCUAUCAAACAAGCUGCUGUUUCCCUAAUAAAAGGGUUGCCUACAGGCAACCAUAUUGUUUUAUUUCAGUAACAAACUAACUCCACACACAAUCAGCUCUCUACACCAAAGUACCAAAAAAAUGAUCAACAAAUGUUUCUGAAGAAAACGAAGAUUAUUUCAUUGUUGAAUUCACUUUUUACCUCUGUGAUUUUU